UUUUCCUUUUUUUUUUGUUUUUUUUUUUUUUUUGUUUUUUUUUUUUUUUUUCUGAGAGAGAUUUGGGAGAUGAGAUUUGUGAGAUGGUGAAGGCGAUGAAGUUUUUAUCACUACUGAAGAAGAAAAGCAUAAAUAAGUAAAUCACAGCAUCGAGUAUGAGAGAUUUCAUAGAAGCAAGAGGCGAUUUUUUUUUGUCUUCUUCAUUAAAUCGAGAUGAUGAUCACUUACAGUUGAAGUGGGUGAUGAUUUUGACGAUUUAAUGAAACAAGCAAGAGGCGAGUUCGCUGGUGAUUUAAAGAAGCAUAAAAGAGCAGUUGAAGUUAGGGUUUUCUUUCGUUAAAUAAGUAAAUCACAACUAUAUACAUUGCAAAAAUUAUUGAAGUGGUUGCUCUCAUGGUGUUCUUAAACCCAUCAGAGAUUUCUCAUAACCUUAUAAGCGUUUCAGACGAUUAUUAGAAUUGUUUCAAGUACAUCAAGAACGAUUUCUUCCGGCAUGACGUGAUUCUACAUUCUCAUGAAGAUCCAUGGCUGCCGGAUUUGAUUGUGAUAAUGGUGUUUUGUGAUUAUUACUCCCAUAUGGGACAAUUCCAUUUUAAUGGAGAAGGCAAUGACGAAGAAAACAUAUUUUUCAAAUCCAAAUGGCAGAAUUUUAAUUCAAAUGCCAUCCCUCAAGUAUCAUCAAUUUCUGUUUUGAAACUCAUGUAUUUAGUACAUUUGUAUUACAAUUUACUUAAUAGUGUGCUACAAAAACUCCGUAUUUUAUUAUGUUUUUCAAUGA